CAACUUUCAGCAACGGAUGUCUUGGCUCUCGCAUCGAUGAAGAACGCAGCGAAAUGCGAUACGUAAUGUGAAUUGCAGAACUCAGUGAAUCAUCGAAUUUUUGAACGCACCUUGCGCUCUUUAGUUAUUCUGAAGAGCAUGCUUGUUUGAGUGUCGCGA
rnacentral:rRNA from 1 species